UUGGUUUGACAAGCUAGUGGGGUCCACUGGGACUCAGGGACCUAGGAGACUUCCUGGUCCUUUAUUCUCUGUUUUCUGUAGGUCCUCAGCAUUCUUAGCUGUAAAGUGAGUAGCAAUAUAUAUAUCCACCUCACAGGUACGAGGACUGUGGAUGCUCCUUCAUACAUCUGGCCAUGAGAGAUGCUGUCUCUUAAUUUUUGUUAUUAGUCAGAUCAAAUCUCUGCCUGGCAAAAAAUUCAUAUCCAGCCAUGCUGCAAGACUCUGUUCCCGGUGUGGGGCAGCAACCUGCGUGCUGGGUGCUCUUCCAGAAUGGUGGUUCUCAGGCUGUGCUUUGUGAACCCAUUGAGGAGUCAAAUGUCCCUCUCACAGGGUCGCCUGAGACCAUCGAAAAACACAGAUAUUACAUUACUGUUCAUCACAGUAGCAAAAUGACAGCUAUGAAGUAGCAAUGAAAAUAAUUUUAUGGCUGGGGAGGGUCACAGCCUUAGGAAGGUUGAGAACUGUUCUAGAACAUUCCACAAAUGGCUCUUGCAUCUUCAGCCUACCUUGGAGGUAUUGCUGUCUUCCUUGUUGCUGAUUAUUACUGAGUAGGACACAAGGGUUCUUGUCUGAGGCCCUGAUGUAGCCACUGCCCAGAGAGGGUGGCUUACCACAUCCUGCCACCCCACAGAACAGAGCCUCCUUUUUCUUGUAAGGAUGCUCCCCACUCUCCAGUUGGCUUUGUCCCAUAUAGAGACAGGGGCAAGGGGAGGGAACUCUUCUAAGUUUCACUCUUUAUAGCGAGGAAAAGUCCCAACAAUGUCAUGCCAUCCUGGCUAGCUUUUAUCAUAUGGAGCCAUGAAGAUGGAGUGGGGACUAUUUACACGUGUAGGGGGAAGGUCUGACUAUGCAACAGUCGACAAAGUGUUUACUUGCAUGCUUUGUCAAUAUUGUUUAAGACAGAAUAUCUAUUGGACACAGCCAGAAUUGCUGUGUUGACACUGAAAAGGACUGCAUAGAGUAGCCCUGUGGUCUGCCUAAGGUCACACACUGUCAGAGAGGGUCACACUUGAAUGUUAGGAGCCCCUCCUUCACCAUUCUCUGAGAAGGAGCAGAGAUAACUGGGCUUCCUGGGGUAUGAAAACUGAAAACUAAUCCUGAGGUUAGGUCAGGGGGCACUGCCAACAAGCCAUGUAAGUAGGCAGUAAUAAAAGAGAAUAAAAUAAGCUGGUCGGUGGUGGAACACGCCUUUAAUUCCAGCACUUGGGAGGCAGAGGCAGGCGGAUUUCUGAGAUCGAGGCCAGCCUGGACUACAGAGUGAGUUCCAGGACACAGCCAGGGCUACACAGAGAAACCCUGUCUUCUUGAGAAACC
rnacentral:lncRNA from 1 species